rnacentral:lncRNA from 1 species
AUCAACUAUGGUCUCCAAGAACAUUGUUGUGGCAGUAACUAUUGUCUCCAUGACCAUGCUCCUAUUUCUCCUGUUAGGAGCUUUGCCGGCGGCAACGGCAGCCAGACCGUCGCCGGCGGCUGGUUUAUCGACCGGGAAGUUGCUUGACAGUAAGUUCACCUUGUCUUUUUGUUACAGUAAUAUUCUAAAACUCGAAUCAUUCAACAAAAUACUCAGAUGGUUCGUAAUUUUAGGUGAUGGGCCGCUCGGAGGAAAUAAUCAGGGGCGAUGAACUGAGGAGGCGUACUUUCAAGCCGGGAACGACGUCGUUUGCUAGAAUAAUGAAGUUGAAUGUUAUUUAAUUUUCUUGUUGGGAUUUCGGAGAUUAAGAGCGUUUGAGUUUGUUUAAAAUUGAAAAUAAAUGUUUGUCGAAGUUCGUAUUAUAUUGAUGAAAAGAUAAUUAUAUAAUUUAUUCUACUUAAAGCGUCGAAUAAUUUGAAUUUAAGGACGUCAUUUGGAAAUUCAAAAACUAAAAAAUAAUAAAAAUGUUAUGAAUAUUAUAAUUAUGUGUAUGAAUGCCCAUUUGUAACUCCUAU